GAUGAACGCUGGCGGCGUGCUUAACACAUGCAAGUCGAACAGAAAGGCUCCUGCUUGCAGGGGUACUCGAGUGGCGAACGGGUGAGUAACACGUGGGUGAUCUGCCCUGCACUUCGGGAUAAGCCUGGGAAACUGGGUCUAAUACCGGAUAGGACGAUGGUUUGGAUGCCAUUGUGGAAAGUUUUUCGGUGUGGGAUGAGCUCGCGGCCUAUCAGCUUGUUGGUGGGGUAAUGGCCUACCAAGGCGUCGACGGGUAGCCGGCCUGAGAGGGUGUACGGCCACAUUGGGACUGAGAUACGGCCCAGACUCCUACGGGAGGCAGCAGUGGGGAAUAUUGCACAAUGGGCGCAAGCCUGAUGCAGCGACGCCGCGUGGGGGAUGACGGCCUUCGGGUUGUAAACUCCUUUCGCUAGGGACGAAGCGCAAGUGACGGUACCUGGAGAAGAAGCACCGGCUAACUACGUG
rnacentral:rRNA from 1 species